AUGCUUCUACUUUCUAUAUGGAGCUGGGAGCGUCUGCCUGUUGGACGCCCGAAGAGCGUCAGGUUUAAUCCUUGGUAUGAAGAUGAAGAUGACCUUACGGCGCCCACUUGGGCUUACAAGUGGGAUGUGGUUUCCGAGAUGACGAACGAUGUCAAUCUCAUGUACCAAAAGUACAUUGCCGAGUUGGACACGAUUACGCCUGAGCAGGUAACGAGGUCAUUACUUCAGUCAUUUCCCAUGCUUGCCUGA
rnacentral:rRNA from 1 species